GUGCCUGCUUCAGCAGCACAUACACUAAAAUUGGAAAGAUACAGAGAAGAUUAGCGUGGCCCCUGCUCAAGGAUGAUAUGCAAAUUUGUAGAGUGUUCCAUAUUAAA